rnacentral:lncRNA from 1 species
GUGUACAGUAGAUGCUGAGUGCUGAGCAGACUGGUCAUGACGACCCAAUUCCGCCCUUAAAGCCGUACUUUCCUCAGCAUGCUUUUGCUGCAUUUCUCGUUGCGCUUGUGCGUGCUCUUGUAUGAUUCGUGCUUGCUCCUGUAAUUGUGCCUGCAUCUGUGCCAUGAAAUCCCUGGUACUCUGCUGCUCCUCCCUGCUCCUUGAGGUCACUAUUUUGGCUAUGUGUAGCUAUGUGUAGUUUAAGCAUUCGUCUCAGUUCUUUGUGUUUUCAAUGGGAUGCCGCUUCGGGCCCCACAGCGGGCACCAAAAUGUUUCAGUUGUCCUUGUCUGAGGUUAGUCGUCUCUCCUUGUUAUGCUCCGAUCGUCCAAUUCUUCUUAUAAUCUUUCCCGGAUGGGGGUUGACCUGCAGAAGACACUCCGACGUUCAAGUCAGAUAUGUUUCAUAAAGAGGUCAAUAUUUUUAUUAGGAUAGAUCGAGAGAUCCCUUUACCUGAACCCCAAUAAUAUAUUUUAUAAGGCUUGUGGUAGUUAAUCACAUUGAUUAGUCAUUAAAUUAGACAAUCAAAUUUAAUAAUACCUGUUAAUAGUCCAUUAAUGCCAUAUUAUUGUACAAUAUGACCUGUCAAUCACUCAUAAAUAGCAUAUAUUCGCAUAUAAUAUGGUCAUUAAACAUAUUAAUUGGCCAU